rnacentral:rRNA from 1 species
GAGUUUGUCUUGGCUCAGAGCGAACGCUGGCGGCAGGCCUAACACAUGCAAGUCGAGCGGAUGUAGCAAUACAUCAGCGGCAGACGGGAGAGUAACACGUGGGAACGUGCCCUUUUGGUUCGGAAUAACUCGGCGAAAGCCGUGCUAAUACCGGAUAAAGCCCUUACGGGGAAAGAUUUAUCGCCAUUGGAGCGGCCCGCGUCUGAUUAGCUAGUUGGUGAGGUAAUGGCUCACCAAGGCGACGAUCAGUAGCUGGUCUGAGAGGAUGAUCAGCCACACUGGAACUGAGAGACGGACCAGACUCCUACGGGAGGCAGCAGUGGGGAAUAUUGGACAAUGGGGGCAACCCUGAUCCAGCGAUGCCGCGUGAGUGAAGAAGGCCUUCGGUU